rnacentral:misc_RNA from 1 species
AACUUUUAGCAACGGAUCUCUUGGCUUUCGCAUCGAUGAAGAACGCAGCGAAAUGCGAUAAGUAAUGUGAAUUGCAGAAUUCAGUGAAUCAUCGAAUCUUUGAACGCACCUUGCACCCUUUGGCAUUCCGAAGGGUAUGCUCGUUUGAGUGUCAUUGUACUCUCACACUCCCGAUGCUUUUGGAUUGGGAGUGGUGGACUUGGGUGUUGCUGCUUUACUGUGGCUCACCUCAAAUGGAGUAGUGCAACUCUUGGUUGGACAUAGUACGGCGUGAUAAGUGUCUUCGCCGGCGCCUCAUUAGAGGGUGGCCGAUCGGGAGCUCUGUGCUUCAAACCGUCUUCGGACAACAUCUGACAACUUGACCUCAAAUCGAGUAGGACUACCCGCUGAACUUAAGCAUAUCAAUAAGCGGAGGCU